UACGUAGGGUGCAAGCGGUGUCCGGAAUUAUUGGGCGUAAAGAGCUCGUAGGCGGUCUGUCGCGUCGGCUGUGAAAUCCCGAGGCUCAACCUCGGGUCUGCAGUCGAUACGGGCAAACUAGAGUAUUGCAGGGGAGACUGGAAUUCCUGGUGUAGCGGUGAAAUGCGCAGAUAUCAGGAGGAACACCGGUGGCGAAGGCGGGUCUCUGGGCAAUAACUGACGCUGAGGAGCGAAAGCGUGGGGAGCGAACAGG
rnacentral:rRNA from 1 species